AUUGAACGCUGGCGGCAGGCCUAACACAUGCAAGUCGAACGGUAGCACAGAGAGCUUGCUCUCGGGUGACGAGUGGCGGACGGGUGAGUAAUGUCUGGGAAACUGCCUGAUGGAGGGGGAUAACUACUGGAAACGGUAGCUAAUACCGCAUAACGUCGCAAGACCAAAGAGGGGGACCUUCGGGCCUCUUGCCUUCAGAUGUGCCCAGAUGGGAUUAGCUAGUAGGUGGGGUAACGGCUCACCUAGGCGACGAUCCCUAGCUGGUCUGAGAGGAUGACCAGCCACACUGGAACUGAGACACGGUCCAGACUCCUACGGGAGGCAGCAGUGGGGAAUAUUGCACAAUGGGCGCAAGCCUGAUGCAGCCAUGCCGCGUGUAUGAAGAAGGCCUUCGGGUUGUAAAGUACUUUCAGCGGGGAGGAAGGUGUUGCGGUUAAUAACCGCAGCAAUUGACGUUACCCGCAGAAGAAGCACCGGCUAACUCCGUGCCAGCAGCCGCGGUAAUACGGAGGGUGCAAGCGUUAAUCGGAAUUACUGGGCGUAAAGCGCACGCAGGCGGUCUGUCAAGUCGGAUGUGAAAUCCCCGGGCUCAACCUGGGAACUGUAUUCGAAACUGGCAGGCUAGAGUCUUGUAGAGGGGGGUAGAAUUCCAGGUGUAGCGGUGAAAUGCGUAGAGAUCUGGAGGAAUACCGGUGGCGAAGGCGGCCCCCUGGACAAAGACUGACGCUCAGGUGCGAAAGCGUGGGGAGCAAACA
rnacentral:rRNA from 1 species